UAACAAAAAAAUUACCAAAUUUACGAACCAUGGUGAAUGUGGUGAUUUUAAUACAAUAUUGAAAGUUAAAAAAGCCAACCAGCAGUAUGGUUCAAGUGUGGAAGCUCCGUAGCUGUAUUCGAAAAAAAUGAAAAGAGAAAACGAAUAGCCACUUACUAGUAAAUUCCGUUCGUAAUAUUUUGAAACAGAUCAUAAAGUCUCGUCCAAACACUACAAUUUGCCUUUUGAAUCAACAAAUCCACAAAGUCAUCACAUUCUUUGUCACCAAGCUGUAGUUGAAAACGUUGCAAAAGUUGUGCACUUGUGUUUUCACCAGCACGAAAGCAAGGCAUUGUGGAAUUAUUUUGCAUAACUUCAACAAGCAAAAUGAUCUGAUCAGCGUUUUUUCGAACAGAUUUAAACGCAGCUUUCAUCAAGGAACGAUAUUCAUCAAACCGGUCGUCAAGGAUUUCUAAAUAAUCCGCCGUAAGCUUAAAUGGAGCGCUUUCAAAGCCAACAUUCCCCGGUGUAUUCGUAAGUAAAAAGCCAAAAUCAAUAUGUAUAAUAUGACCUUCACUAUCAAUAAGAACGUUACCAUUAUGUCUAUCCUUUAACUGUAGUAAGUAUGAUAUAAUGCUAUAUGCCACUAAUGAUUG